AGAGUUUGAUCCUGGCUCAGGACGAACGCUGACGGUGUGCUUUAGGCAUGCAAGUCGAACGAGAAAGCCCUUCGGGGUGAGUAAAGUGGCGAACGGGUGAGUAACACGUGGGCAACCUGCCCCUCGCAGGGGGACAACCGGAGGAAACUCCGGCUAAUACCCCGUACGCUUGUUGGAUCGCAUGGUCCGGCAAGGAAAGGUAGCUUCGGCCAUCCGGCGAGGGAUGGGCCCGCGUUGCAUUAGCUAGUUGGUGGGGUAACGGCCCACCAAGGCGACGAUGCGUAGCUGGUCUGAGAGGAUGAUCAGCCACACUGGGACUGAGACACGGCCCAGACUCCUACGGGAGGCAGCAGCCAGGAAUCUUGGGCAAUGGGCGAAAGCCUGACCCAGCAACACCGUGUGGGCGACGAAGGCCUUAGGGUCGUAAAGCCCUGUUGAUAGGGACGAAGGGCGAAGGGUUAAUAGCCCCUAGCUUGACGGUACCUUUCGAGGAAGCCCCGGCUAACUACGUGCCAGCAGCCGCGGUAAUACGUAGGGGGCGAGCGUUGUCCGGAAUUAUUGGGCGUAAAGAGCGUGUAGGCGGUUCGGUAAGUCUGCUGUGAAAUCCUGGGGCUCAACCCUGGGCGUGCAGCGGAUACUGCCGGGCUAGAGGGUGGUAGAGGCGAGUGGAAUUCCGAGUGUAGCGGUGAAAUGCGCAGAUAUUCGGAGGAACACCAGUAGCGAAGGCGGCUCGCUGGGCCACACCUGACGCUGAGACGCGAAAGCGUGGGGAGCGAACAGGAUUAGAUACCCUAGUAGUCC
rnacentral:rRNA from 1 species